rnacentral:rRNA from 1 species
GGGACACGUGGUAUCCUGUCUGAAUAUGGGGGGACCAUCCUCCAAGGCUAAAUACUCCUGACUGACCGAUAGUGAACCAGUACCGUGAGGGAAAGGCGAAAAGAACCCCGGCGAGGGGAGUGAAAAAGAACCUGAAACCGUGUACGUACAAGCAGUGGGAGCCUCUUAAUGGGGUGACUGCGUACCUUUUGUAUAAUGGGUCAGCGACUUAUAUUCUGUAGCAAGGUUAACCGAAUAGGGGAGCCGAAGGGAAACCGAGUCUUAACUGGGCGUUAAGUUGCAGGGUAUAGACCCGAAACCCGGUGAUCUAGCCAUGGGCAGGUUGAAGGUUGGGUAACACUAACUGGAGGACCGAACCGACUAAUGUUGAAAAAUUAGCGGAUGACUUGUGGCUGGGGGUGAAAGGCCAAUCAAACCGGGAGAUAGCUGGUUCUCCCCGAAAGCUAUUUAGGUAGCGCCUCGUGAAUUCAUCUCCGGGGGUAGAGCACUGUUUCGGCAAGGGGGUCAUCCCGACUUACCAACCCGAUGCAAACUGCGAAUACCGGAGAAUGUUAUCACGGGAGACACACGGCGGGUGCUAACGUCCGUCGUGAAGAGGGAAACAACCCAGACCGCCAGCUAAGGUCCCAAAGUCAUGGUUAAGUGGGAAACGAUGUGGGAAGGCCCAGACAGCCAGGAUGUUGGCUUAGAAGCAGCCAUCAUUUAAAGAAAGCGUAAUAGCUCACUGGUCGAGUCGGCCUGCGCGGAAGAUGUAACGGGGCUAAACCAUGCACCGAAGCUGCGGCAGCGACGCUUAUGCGUUGUUGGGUAGGGGAGCGUUCUGUAAGCCUGUGAAGGUGUGCUGUGAGGCAUGCUGGAGGUAUCAGAAGUGCGAAUGCUGACAUAAGUAACGAUAAAGCGGGUGAAAAGCCCGCUCGCCGGAAGACCAAGGGUUCCUGUCCAACGUUAAUCGGGGCAGGGUGAGUCGACCCCUAAGGCGAGGCCGAAAGGCGUAGUCGAUGGGAAACAGGUUAAUAUUCCUGUACUUGGUGUUACUGCGAAGGGGGGACGGAGAAGGCUAUGUUGGCCGGGCGACGGUUGUCCCGGUUUAAGCGUGUAGGCUGGUUUUCCAGGCAAAUCCGGAAAACCAAGGCUGAGGCGUGAUGACGAGGCACUACGGUGCUGAAGCGACAAAUGCCCUGCUUCCAGGAAAAGCCUCUAAGCAUCAGGUAACAUCAAAUCGUACCCCAAACCGACACAGGUGGUCAGGUAGAGAAUACCAAGGCGCUUGAGAGAACUCG